rnacentral:rRNA from 1 species
GACGAACGCUGGCGGCGUGCUUAACACAUGCAAGUCGAACGGAAAGGCCCUGCUUUUGUGGGGUGCUCGAGUGGCGAACGGGUGAGUAACACGUGAGUAACCUGCCCUUGACUUUGGGAUAACUUCAGGAAACUGGGGCUAAUACCGGAUAGGAGCUCCUGCUGCAUGGUGGGGGUUGGAAAGUUUCGGCGGUUGGGGAUGGACUCGCGGCUUAUCAGCUUGUUGGUGGGGUAGUGGCUUACCAAGGCUUUGACGGGUAGCCGGCCUGAGAGGGUGACCGGCCACAUUGGGACUGAGAUACGGCCCAGACUCCUACGGGAGGCAGCAGUGGGGAAUAUUGCACAAUGGGCGGAAGCCUGAUGCAGCAACGCCGCGUGCGGGAUGACGGCCUUCGGGUUGUAAACCGCUUUCGCCUGUGACGAAGCGUGAGUGACGGUAAUGGGUAAAGAAGCACCGGCUAACUACGUGCCAGCAGCCGCGGUGAUACGUAGGGUGCGAGCGUUGUCCGGAUUUAUUGGGCGUAAAGGGCUCGUAGGUGGUUGAUCGCGUCGGAAGUGUAAUCUUGGGGCUUAACCCUGAGCGUGCUUUCGAUACGGGUUGACUUGAGGAAGGUAGGGGAGAAUGGAAUUCCUGGUGGAGCGGUGGAAUGCGCAGAUAUCAGGAGGAACACCAGUGGCGAAGGCGGUUCUCUGGGCCUUUCCUGACGCUGAGGAGCGAAAGCGUGGGGAGCGAACAGGCUUAGAUACCCUGGUAGUCCACGCUGUAAACGGUGGGUACUAGGUGUGGGGUCCAUUCCACGGGUUCCGUGCCGUAGCUAACGCUUUAAGUACCCCGCCUGGGGAGUACGGCCGCAAGGCUAAAACUCAAAGGAAUUGACGGGGCCCCGCACAAGCGGCGGAGCAUGCGGAUUAAUUCGAUGCAACGCGUAGAACCUUACCUGGGUUUGACAUGGAUCGGGAGCGCUCAGAGAUGGGUGUGCCUCUUUUGGGGUCGGUUCACAGGUGGUGCAUGGCUGUCGUCAGCUCGUGUCGUGAGAUGUUGGGUUAAGUCCCGCAACGAGCGCAACCCUUGUUCACUGUCGCCAGCACGUUAUGGUGGGGACUCAGUGGAGACCGCCGGGGUCAACUCGGAGGAAGGUGGGGAUGACGUCAAGUCAUCAUGCCCCUUAUGUCCAGGGCUUCACGCAUGCUACAAUGGCUGGUACAGAGAGUGGCGAGCCUGUGAGGGUGAGCGAAUCUCGGAAAGCCGGUCUCAGUUCGGGUUGGGGUCUGCAACUCGACCUCAUGAAGUCGGAGUCGCUAGUAAUCGCAGAUCAGCAACGCUGCGGUGAAUACGUUCCCGGGGCU